GACAGAGGGUGCAAACGUUGUUCGGAAUUACUGGGCGUAAAGGGCUCGUAGGCGGCCAACUAAGUCGGACGUGAAAUCCCUCGGCUUAACCGGGGAACUGCGUCCGAUACUGGAUGGCUAGAGUGUGGGAGAGGGAUGCGGAAUGCCGGGUGAGUGGUGAAAUGCGUAGAGAUCCGGCGGAACACCGGUGGUGAAGGCGGUCUCCUGGGCCGAGGGCCGACGCUGAGGCGCGAGAGCGUGGGGAGCGAACCGG
rnacentral:rRNA from 1 species